GAGCCGGAGCCGCCACCGUGGAUGGAAGCCCACCCAGACCCUCCCCUAGACUGGUUUAUGGUGCGCCCGGAGUUCGCACCUUAAGGGGGGGGUUAUGUCACGCCCUGGCCUUAGUAUUCUUUGUUUUCUUUAUUAUUUUAGUUAGGUCAGGGUGUGACAUGGGGAAUGUUUGUGUUUUUGUUGGUUUUGGGUGUUUCUAUGGUAAAGGGGUUAUUGGGUGUAGUAUAUGGGUUUGUGUUGAGUUCAGAUGUCUAGCGUUGUCUAUGUAUGUUUAGUUAUCUAGGAGAGUCUAUGGUUACCUGAAUGAGUUCCCAAUUAGAGACAGCUGAUUUCGGUUGUCUCUGAUUGGGAGCCUUAUUUAGGGUAGCCAUAGGCUUUCAUUCGAUGUGAGUAGUUGUCUAUGUGAUACGUUUGUAGCCAGUGUGUGCACAUCGUUUAUUAGCUUCACGAUCGUUUGUUGUUUUGUUAGUUUGUAUUAAGUGUUUCGUGUUUAUUUUUCGUCGUCUUUAAAAUAAAAGAAGAUGGCUUAUUUUCCAAAUGCUGCGUUUUGGUCCGUCAAUCCGCCACACGAUCGUGACAAUGAGACUCAAAAUUGAGCUCAGGUUCAUCCUGUUUCCAUUGAUCAUCCUUGAGACAUUUCUACAACUUGAUUGGAGUCCACCUGUGGUAAAUUCCAUUGUUUGGACAUGAUUUGGAAAGGCACACAACUGUCUAUAUAAGGUCCACACAGCUGUCAGCGCAUGUCAGAGCAAAAAACAAGCCAAACAAGGUCAAUGGAAAAAAACAGACAAAAUCCCGCCCCAAUUUAAUCAAUUUUAGGAUAAGGCUGUAACGUAAUGAAAUGUGGAAAAAUGUCAAGGGGUCUGAAUACUUUCCUAAUGCACUGUACAAUAUUGGCUAUGCAGUAUAUCUGUUUUGUUUACCCCAGAGGUUUAUACUGACUAAAUCAGACCUCCAACUGCAGAUCAUCAUGGGAGAACUGUCUUCUGUACAUUUAGUGUUCUGAAUGUUAUUCUGAUGGUUAUGAUCCUGGUACAUAUCGUGACCUUGGCAUGUCAGAACAGAAGCUGCUUUUAAAAACUAAGACCACCUCAAGAUGCAGACCAGAGGACCUGUUGGAUCGGAGGGUGAGGGCUAGGGCCAUUCCCCCCAGAAAUGUCCGGGAACUUGCAGGUGCCUUGGUGGAAGAGUGGGGUAACAUCUCACAGCAAGAACUGGCUAAUCUGGUGCAGUCCAUGAGGAGAAGAUGCACUGCAGUACUUCUCUGGUGGCCACACCAGAUACUGACUGUUACUUUUGAUUUUGACCCCCCCUUUGUUCAGGGACACAUUAUUCAAUUUAUGUUAGUCACAUGUCUGUGGAACUUGUUCAGUUCAUGUCUCAGUUGUUGAAUCUUGUUAUGUUCAUACAAAUAUUUACACAUGUUAAGUUUGCUGAAAAUAAACGCAGUUGACAGUGA